CUUAAAACAGGCAGCAGGAAAAGCUCGCUGUGGAAAUGCGUCAUCCCACGCUAUUGGUCCUGCUUCUACUCCUUCUUCUUCGCACACAAGCAAUGGUAGCGAUUCACGAAGGCAGGCUGGUCGUGCCAUCAACAAGAACAAUGACCGAUGACGAUGCUCCUACUUCUUGCCGUGUUGAAGCAAGCAUUCCUUCGAAUAUACGGCACAGGCUUCCAUCCUGACUGACAAGAAAGUGGAAAUCGGAAGUAAAAGCAUGCAAAUGAAUGAUUUACCAUCAACACCUCUCAACCUUUCUCCAGUGGUGAUUUCAACGCCUAUUGUCCAUACACCCUUA